rnacentral:lncRNA from 1 species
UUUUAAAGUGAAUUUUAAAUUCUAUCGCUAACAAACUUGGUGUUAUUGACGAUCCAGGAUAUUAUAGCGCGCAUUAGAUUUUAUUUUAUUUUUUAAAUGCUCAUUGUGGUAAUUUUAAAGUGAAUUUUAAACUCUAUCGCUAACAAAGUUAAUGUUAUUGACGAUCCAGGAUAUUAUUGUACGCAUUAGAUUUUAUUUUAUUUUUUAAAUACUCGUUGUGGUAAUUUUAAAGUGAAUUUUAAAUUCUAUCGCUAACAAACUUAGUAUUAACUCAUGCCGUUAGCCUUAGUAAGGAUCUGUUUCAACUUAUCUAGAGCAUUUUUAAGCUAAUUUUAAGUGUGUAUAAUCUAUGGCAUGGAUAAAAAGAAAAAAAGAAGAACUAGCUUUUAAUAAAAAAUUG